rnacentral:rRNA from 1 species
GACGAACGCUGGCGGCGUGCUUAACACAUGCAAGUCGAACGGAAAGGCCUGCUUUCCCUUGUGGAUUGCGGGUACUCGAGUGGCGAACGGGUGAGUAACACGUGAGUGAUCUGCCCCCAACUUGGGUAUAAGACUGGGAAACUGGGUCUAAUUCCCGAUAGGACUGCAGGGUGGUGCCUGUGGUGGAAAACGAUUUUCUAGUGGUUGGGGAUGAGCUCGCGGCCUAUCAGCUUGUUGGUGGGGUAAUGGCCUGCCAAGGCGGCGACGGGUAGCCGGCCUGAGAGGGUGGACGGCCACAUUGGGACUGGGAUACGGCCCAGACUCCUACGGGAGGCAGCAGUGGGGAAUAAUGCACAGUGGGCGGAAGCCUGAUGCAGCGACGCCGCGUGGGGGAUGACGGGCUUCGGGUUGUAAACUCCUUUCGACCGCGAGGAAGCCACCUGGUUGGAAGGGUGGUGACGGUAGUGGGAGAAGAAGCACCGGCUAACUACGUG